ensembl:misc_RNA Metazoa_SRP Metazoan signal recognition particle RNA
GCUGGGUAUGGUGGCGCACGCCUGUAAUCCCAGCUACUAGGGAGGCUGAGACAGGAGAAUCGCUUGAACCCAGGAGGCGGAGGUUGCAGUGAGCCGAGAUCACUUCACUGCACUUCAGCCUGGGUGACAGAGCGAGAUUCUGUCUCAA